CCAACCACAGGUAAUUCAGAAAAAAUAGAAGAGGAAAAAACGCAAGGGCUUGUUAUGGAGUUCGUGUGAAAGAAACACGGAUUUCCACCCUUCUUUUCCAGUUAAACCAGUAUCUCUGGAUAAAACACGCUCAAGUAGGGACACAGUUUUCCCCUUGUGGUCCCUGAUGGCUUCGCACAGUGAUACUCUGGUGGUGUUCUUUGGGGCAACAGCUGGUGCAAAUGGGGGUAAACUGGGUUCGGAUGAGAGGGAAAUAAUUCUCUUGGUGUGGCAAAUUUUGGACCUUCAUGAGAAAAAGGUGGGGAAGCUUCACAGGUGUCUUGUCAAACCAGACACUUUUGAGCUGACAGAGCAGUGUAAAGAAGAAACAGGACUGACUCUGGAAGAAUUAUCCAAAGCUGAGCCUCUAGACAAAGUUUUGCAACAGUUUCAACAGUCUGUCUCAUCAGAACUAAAAUGCCUUGGCAGAAGCUCUUAUACAUUGUGCGUCAACAGUUCACUGGUUAUUCGUCAGGCACUCCACCCAGAAGCUUCCAAAAAGAAUCUCGUACUUCCUGAAUGUUUCUUUUCAUUUGUCGAUGUGAGGAAGGAGUUCCAUAAAUGUUGCCCUAAUUCAGGACCAGUCCAAAAGCUCACACUGCCCUCCAUGUUGGAAUAUGUAGGCCUUGCUGCGGAGUCAGAGCAGUCGAUCGGGGUGAGAGAGGUUAGAAGUAUUGUGCAGGUGCUUCUUCACAUCCUGGAUGAGCCCUACAAUCACAAAAUCUCUUGUGUUGAAAUUGUGAACUACAAGUUUGAUUCUGGCACAUGCAGUAAGACAGAACCAGUGGAUAGUGAGACAGUCAUCAGAGCCAGGGGACUUCCCUGGCAAUCAUCAGAUCAAGAUAUUGCCCGAUUCUUUAAAGGGCUCAACAUUGCAAAGGGUGGUGUGGCUCUGUGUCUCAAUAAUCAGGGCCGGAGAAAUGGAGAGGCUUUGGUUCGUUUCAUCAAUUCUGAACACAGGGACCUGGCCCUUGAACGGCACAAGCACCACAUGGGCAGCCGCUACAUUGAGGUUUACAAAGCUACAGGAGAGGAAUUUCUAAAGAUCGCUGGAGGUACGUCCAAUGAGGUGUCCCAGUUUUUGUCAAAGGAGAACCAGGUGAUAAUUCGAAUGCGAGGGCUUCCGUUUACCGCUACACCACAAGAGGUGCUGUCCUUCCUGGGUCCCGAGAGCCCUGUUACAGACGGAGCCGAGGGUCUGCUCUUCGUGAAGUAUCCUGAUGGGCGACCCACGGGUGAUGCUUUUGUGUUGUUCUCAUGUGAAGAGUAUGCACAAAAUGCUCUGAAGAAGCACAAGCAGAUUCUGGGAAAGCGAUAUAUUGAGUUGUUCAGGAGUACUGCAGCUGAGGUUCAGCAGGUGCUGAAUCGUUACUUGUCCACUCCUCUGAUCUCCACACUGCCUCCUUCACCUGUCAUGCCUCUUCCAAUGCUGGCCACACAACCCUUCCUCCCAGCCUCUAGUAGUGUCCGUGACUGUGUGCGUCUGCGGGGGCUGCCCUACACUGCCGGCAUCGAGGAUAUCCUGGAGUUUAUGGGAGAGCACACUGUCGACAUCAAACCUCAUGGAGUCCACAUGGUUCUCAACCAACAGGGCCGGCCCUCUGGUGAUGCCUUUAUCCAAAUGAAGUCUGCAGACAAGGCAUUUAUGGUCUCCCAAAAGUGCCAUAAAAAAACUAUGAAGGACAGAUAUGUUGAGGUGUUCCAGUGCUCCACAGAGGAGAUGAGCAUCGUCCUGAUGGGAGGAACACUAAACCGCAGUGGGCUGUCUCCUCCACCAUGCAAACUGCCUUGUCUGUCCCCACCAACAGCUUAUGCAGCCUUCCCCACUCCCCCAGCCCUUAUGCCUGAAGCCCUGUACCAGCCCUCCCUGCUGGCAGCUCCUCGCACUCCCCACGCUGCUGCUCACACAGCUGCACACACACUGUACUACCCUCCUCAUCCUCACCUUUACAUGAACAUGAAUAUGAACUACACGGCUUACUACCCCAGUCCCCCUGUCUCUCCCUCGACUGUGGGCUACUUUGCGGCUCCUCCGGGGGCAAUGGCAGCAGCAGUGGCGGCUCAGUCCCACCCUGCAGCUGCUGCCUCCUCCGUGCUGCCCCAGCCUGGUGCUCUAGUCCGGAUGCAGGGUCUUCCCUACAACACAGGGGUCAAGGACAUUCUCAGCUUUUUUCAAGGAUACCAGGCCCAUCCUGACUGCGUUAAUAUGAUGCUAUGUGUAGUACGGCCCUGAAGACUACAACGGUGUGGUUCAGAUGAGUGAACAGGCCAGGAGUCUGAUUCAGCCCAAAGAAUGGCUCUGUCUGUAGGCACCUGCCAAAGCUGCAACCAGAUGGCAUUCUCAUCUUGUACAACUUCAGUGGGCAGUGCAAUGGCGAAGCCUUGGUCACAUUUCCAAGUGAAGAGGCAGCUAGACAAGCUGUAGCGGAGCGCUCCAACCACCUCUUCUAUGGCCAACAGGUCCACCUUGCCUUGUGUAACUGACCCUCUCGGACCCCCUCUGGCCUGCACUGUACCUGCCUCAUGUUUCUGUGACACUCCAGAGGCUUCCUGGAGCUAUUGCCAUAUCAGCUUUAUGUGUCACCUCAUGGACUCAUCCCACCUGGACCAGUGAUCUUGUUGAGUGGACCUACUGUAAAGACGGCCUGUGGAGAAGAGACAGUCAUCCAGAGCCACUGCUAAUCACAUUAUUCUAGCCUUUGUAUUCUUAUUCUUAACACUAGUGUAUGGAUGUUGUCUCUGAAAGGCUCAAGGACACCUACACCAUGAGCCAUCAUAAACUGAGUUUAGUGCCUAUGUUCUUCUGUCUGUACUGAGCUUCUUUUGGAUUUGAAUGUACACAAUGUUUGCCUUUUUGGACUUUUAUGUGGAUGCCAAGCUAUUAUUAGACCUCUAAUGGAAAAGAGUAAGCUGUGUGCUAAGUGUAAUGCAGAGCUGCAGGGACCAAACCACAGGCAUCACACUGCCAACUAAUGUGCAUGUCUUUUCGGUUAAAAGGCUUGUGUCUUGUUUUUUUCAGUAGCGCUUAAGUAUUUUUUUUUUUUUUGUACUCAAAUUUAAGAGCAUGAUGAACUUAUAUUUUUAUUCUAUUUCUACAAAGGAAAUGUCAUUAAAUCGGCCAACAAAAGCUGCUUUACAUUAGCUUCUGUGUAAAUGAUUGUAUUUAUAAGACUGUGUGGCUCUGCUCUGGACCAGAAUGCUGUAGAAACUUCCUUUGUUGACACACACCUGUUUCUUUACCCACAUUACCCAGAGUGCAAUACUGGGCCAAUGAGGCCAACCUCUGGUGGAUAUUAUUCCUUUGCUGCAAGUUUGAGACUUGCAUGGAUUUUGAACAAUUUAAAGUAUGAAGAUGGAAAAAAAAUAAUAAAGUUGUGUAUAAAAUG